UAGAUGGAGGACAUAUUUGAGAUUGCCUCAGACGCUGUCAUCACGGAAGAGACAGUCAUAGAAAGGCGUCGUUUUUCGAUGACUCGUGACCCAGGCAAUGUAUUACAUGAGGUGUCCCCAAACAAUGAACAAGAUGCCCGAAAAAUCUGAGGUCCUAGCCGAGAGCAAAUUAAUACGGGAAUGCAAAGUGCUCUCGGCCAGGACCCAAAAGUCCAUUGGCCGCAUCACCGAUGACAUAAAGGAUGAGGAGUAUUUAGUACUCGCUGUCAAACU